rnacentral:rRNA from 1 species
CCUAGUAACGGCGAGUGAAGCGGCAACAGCUCAAAUUUGAAAUCUGGCCCUCGGGUCCGAGUUGUAAUUUGUAGAGGAUGCUUUUGGCGCGGUGCCUUCCGAGUUCCCUGGAACGGGACGCCUUAGAGGGUGAGAGCCCCGUACGGUUGGACACCAAGCCUCUGUAAAGCUCCUUCGACGAGUCGAGUAGUUUGGGAAUGCUGCUCUAAAUGGGAGGUAAAUUUCUUCUAAAGCUAAAUAUUGGCCAGAGACCGAUAGCGCACAAGUAGAGUGAUCGAAAGAUGAAAAGCACUUUGAAAAGAGGGUUAAAUAGCACGUGAAAUUGUUGAAAGGGAAGCGUUUGCGACCAGACCUUUUCCUAGCGGAUCAACCGGUGUUCUCACCGGUGCACUUCGCUAGGUUUAGGCCAGCAUCGGUUUCUGUAGGGGGAUAAAAGCUCUGGGAACGUAGCUCCUCCGGGAGUGUUAUAGCCCUCUGCAUAAUACCCUUACGGGGACCGAGGACCGCGCUUCGGCAAGGAUGCUGGCGUAAUGGUCGUCAACGACCCGUCUUGAAACACGGACCAAGGAGUCGAACAUUUGUGCGAGUGUUUGGGUGUUAAACCCUCACGCGUAAUGAAAGUGAACGGAGGUGAGAGCCCUUACGGGUGCAUCAUCGACCGAUCCUGAUGUCUUCGGAUGGAUUUGAGUAAGAGCAUAACUGUUCGGACCCGAAAGAUGGUGAACUAUGCGUGGAUAGGGUGAAGCCAGAGGAAACUCUGGUGGAGGCUCGCAGCGGUUCUGACGUGCAAAUCGAUCGUCAAAUCUGCGC